rnacentral:rRNA from 1 species
AGUGAACGCUGGCGGUAGGCCUAACACAUGCAAGUCGAACGGCAGCACAGUAAGAGCUUGCUCUUACGGGUGGCGAGUGGCGGACGGGUGAGGAAUACAUCGGAAUCUACUUUUUCGUGGGGGAUAACGUAGGGAAACUUACGCUAAUACCGCAUACGACCUACGGGUGAAAGCAGGGGAUCUUCGGACCUUGCGCGAUUGAAUGAGCCGAUGUCGGAUUAGCUAGUUGGCGGGGUAAAGGCCCACCAAGGCGACGAUCCGUAGCUGGUCUGAGAGGAUGAUCAGCCACGCUGGAACUGAGACACGGUCCAGACGCCUACGGGAGGCAGCAGUGGGGAAUAUUGGACAAUGGGCGCAAGCCUGAUCCAGCCAUACCGCGUGGGUGAAGAAGGCCUUCGGGUUGUAAAGCCCUUUUGUUGGGAAAGAAAAGCAGCAGGUUAAUACCCCGCUGUUCUGACGGUACCCAAAGAAUAAGCACCGGCUAACUUCGUG